CACGCGUGAGAGCUUUGAUGCUCUCUGACCCGACGCGACCCAGAAACCCGCAACAGGAUCCGACCGGCGCUACUUCGUCCGGCCACCGAUCGACGACGGACGACCACCAUCUUCUUCGCCUCUUAGUCGCCUAUAUCCUCAUGCUCUUGGAUCGUCUAUGCACUGAACGGAGAAGAAAACCCGACGACGAGAAGCCCGAGCCUUUACCGGCAACCUCUGCAAUUUCCAGCACCUCUGGCCCCCGUUUGGGCCGCCUGUGCUCGAAUUCGACGUUGUCGCUACGCGGGCAACUCUUCCGUCCCGUCUGGACUUAGUUUUUGGGUUGACAGCAGCUGUAGGCCGGGCAUCAGGGAUCACGUGGGGUUGUAGCACCAGAAACCCUCAGUUCUCCCUCAAGCCAGCUUCGGCAGGGUGUGGGAAACUAGGUUUGGAUCAUCGUCUUUGUUCUGAGAACUGAGAUUGGCUUGAUCAAAGUUGAUUUUUGCAUUUGAAGGUAUAAUCUCGAACUUGAAUCCCGUUUUGUUCUUGUGUUAGUGAUCAGAAGCUGUGGAAUUGAGUUUGGUUGGUAUGGUGGAAUUAAAGACUUGUUAUCGGAUUAUGGUGUUGUCUUGAUCAUAGUAUUUUGAGUUGUUGCGAGUAAAUUUGGGAAUUGAUA